UACGUAGGGUGCAAGCGUUAAUCGGAAUUACUGGGCGUAAAGCGUACGCAGGCGGCUUUGCAAGACGGGUGUGAAAUCCCCGGGCCUAACCUGGGAACUGCAUUUGUGACUGCAUGGCUAGAGUUUGUCAGAGGGGGGUGGAAUUCCACGUGUAGCAGUGAAAUGCGUAGAUAUGUGGAGGAACACCGAUGGCGAAGGCAGCCCCCUGGGAUGUGACUGACGCUCAUGUACGAAAGCGUGGGGAGCAAACAGG
rnacentral:rRNA from 1 species